rnacentral:rRNA from 1 species
AGUGAACGCUGGCGGUAGGCCUAACACAUGCAAGUCGAACGGCAGCACAGUAAGAGCUUGCUCUUACGGGUGGCGAGUGGCGGACGGGUGAGGAAUACAUCGGAAUCUACUUUUUCGUGGGGGAUAACGUAGGGAAACUUACGCUAAUACCGCAUACGACCUACGGGUGAAAGCAGGGGAAUCUUCGGACCUUGCGCGAUUGAAUGAGCCGAUGUCGGAUUAGCUAGUUGGCGGGGUAAAGGCCCACCAAGGCGACGAUCCGUAGCUGGUCUGAGAGGAUGAUCAGCCACACUGGAACUGAGACACGGUCCAGACUCCUACGGGAGGCAGCAGUGGGGAAUAUUGGACAAUGGGCGCAAGCCUGAUCCAGCCAUACCGCGUGGGUGAAGAAGGCCUUCGGGUUGUAAAGCCCUUUUGUUGGGAAAGAAAAGCAGCAGGUUAAUACCCCGCUGUUCUGACGGUACCCAAAGAAUAAGCACCGGCUAACUUCGUG